UGAGUAUUCCCUCCGUCCGAAAAUACUUGUCAUCAAAAUAGAUAAAAAGGGGUGUAUUUAGAACUAAAAUAUAUCUAGAUACAUCUCCUUUUGUCCAUUUUGAUGACAAGUAUUUUCGGACAGAGGGAGUAGAUG
rnacentral:pre_miRNA from 1 species